CCUACGGGGUGCAGCAGUGAGGAAUAUUGGUCAAUGGACGCAAGUCUGAACCAGCCAUGCCGCGUGCAGGAAGACGGCUCUAUGAGUUGUAAACUGCUUUUGUACGAGGGUAAACGCAGAUACGCGUAUCUGUCUGAAAGUAUCGUACGAAUAAGGAUCGGCUAACUCCGUGCCAGCAGCCGCGGUACUACGGAGGAUUCAAGAGUUAUCCGGAUUUAUUGGGUUUAAAGGGUGCGUCGGCGGUCGGAUAAGUUAGAGGUGAAAUCCCGGGGCUCAACUUCGGAAUUGCCUCUGAUACUGUGCGGCUAGAGAGUAGUUGCGGUAGGCGGAAUGUAUGGUGUAGCGGUGAAAUGCUUAGAGAUCAUACAGAACACCGAUUGCGAAGGCAGCUUACCAAGCUACUUCUGACGUUGAGGCACGAAAGCGUGGGGAGCAAACAGGAUUAGAUACCCGAGUAGUC
rnacentral:rRNA from 1 species